CAGUGGAGAGGCAGUGGAGGAGAACGCAUUAGAAACAAUCUGACUAUCGUGGUCCGAUUUCUGCCAGCUAGAUUCCCUGCACAUGAUUACCCUCCCUUCCCUGAAGUCGAAAUCCCACAGCAAAACGGCGGUAACGGCAAUCAGUCUUUUUCCGAAAGCUAAAGGUAUCGUUUUUCCAAUUCACGGCUGAAUGGCUAUUGCCAAUCUUCUUACUGGAGAGGUUAUUGCAAAUUUUAGGCUGUGCAUUUAUGUCUAUGACAUUAGAUCCAUUGAGGGCGGGUUUAUCUUCCCUGACGAUGGUGCUGCGACCUAUACGUAUCACUUGGAUUCUUUGGUGACAUUUAUGUGCCAGUGCAUCACAUGCCCAAUCCAUCCCAUUUUGACGGCGAAGCAAAAAAUAGCAAUAAAGGCACGUGGUUUUGGGAUUUUAAUGAUCAAUCAUGUCCUAUUGAUGAUACUGAUGAGAUCAAAUGCUUUCAAAAUGUGAGUUACCCUUCAAUUCCAGAAGAGCAGCCAAAAGAAUCAAAGCUAUUUGCCCCUAUGGUGUUUACUGUAUUUAUUUUAACCUUUAUAGGUUCAUUGGAUCAUGAUGGUCUUGGCCCAGUUUCAUGGUGGUAUGAGACGCGAGAAGUUGAGGACGAGUAAACGUCAGUUUAAAGAGCUUAAGGCGUCGCCAGAUGACGAGUUCAUUACACCCUCCAAAAUUAUGCCAGAAGUGGUGGCUGCUUUAUGGGUCAAAAGAUCUUAUUACUUUUGAAAAGGCCUCAGUGAGUACUUCCUGCUUAGUUGCAUCUCAAGAUCGGUGAUGUACCUUCCUCAAUGUCUUUGCCUGUAGAAGUAUUCCCUUUUUUAUAAUUCAUUUGUUUGUUUCCUUGCUUGCAUGUUAAGCUUACAUGUGCUUUUGGUUCUUUUAGUUAUAUUUUAUUUUGAUUUCUUUAAUUUUUUUAUUAGUGCAAUUUUGCUUUCAUACUUUUCAAAUUCGGCAAUUUUGUCCCUGCCAGACCAUUAUAAAUGAAAGCUAGUCUUGAUGACUUGGUUGUUGUCUUCUGACAUGGCUAUUGAUAAAUCUGAU